CCUACGGGCGGCAGCAGUGGGGAAUAUUGGGCAAUGGGCGCAAGCCUGACCCAGCAACGCCGCGUGAAGGAAGAAGGCUUUCGGGUUGUAAACUUCUUUUAUUGAGGACGAAACAAAUGACGGUACUCAAUGAAUAAGCCACGGCUAACUACGUGCCAGCAGCCGCGGUAAUACGUAGGUGGCAAGCGUUAUCCGGAUUUACUGGGUGUAAAGGGCGUGUAGGCGGGACUGCAAGUCAGAUGUGAAAUCCUGCGGCUUAACCGCAGAACUGCAUUUGAAACUGUUGAUCUUGAGUACUGGAGAGGCAGAUGGAAUUCCUAGUGUAGCGGUGAAAUGCGUAGAUAUUAGGAGGAACACCAGUGGCGAAGGCGGUCUGCUGGACAGCAACUGACGGUGAGGCGCGAAAGCGUGGGGAGCAAACAGGAUUAGAUACCCGAGUAGUC
rnacentral:rRNA from 1 species